CCUACGGGUGGCUGCAGUGGGGAAUAUUGGACAAUGGGCGAAAGCCUGAUCCAGCCAUGCCGCGUGUGUGAAGAAGGCCUUCGGGUUGUAAAGCACUUUCAGUGGGGAAGAAAGCCUUGGGGCUAAUACCCUCGAGGAAGGACAUCACCCACAGAAGAAGCACCGGCUAACUCCGUGCCAGCAGCCGCGGUAAUACGGAGGGUGCGAGCGUUAAUCGGAAUUACUGGGCGUAAAGCGCGCGUAGGCGGUCUGAUAAGCCGGUUGUGAAAGCCCCGGGCUCAACCUGGGAACGGCAUCCGGAACUGUCAGGCUAGAGUGCAGGGGAGGAAGGUAGAAUUCCCGGUGUAGCGGUGAAAUGCGUAGAGAUCGGGAGGAAUACCAGUGGCGAAGGCGGCCUUCUGGACUGACACUGACGCUGAGGUGCGAAAGCGUGGGUAGCAAACAGGAUUAGAUACCCUGGUAGUC
rnacentral:rRNA from 1 species